rnacentral:lncRNA from 1 species
CAGCAGUGUCCUUAGUUGGUUCUGAAGGGCAUUUUGCACAGUGUUUAGCAAUGAUUUGGGCCAUAUUACUUCUCAUUCUCCAAGUCUGGUCCUCCAAGUUUUUAGGCAAUUUUGUAUUUAUUUUCUGCUAUAAUCAGCCCAAACCCAUUUCUUUUGCUCUGGAACUUAGAAGUGAUCUAGUCAACUUACAUGGUAAGCAAUCAUCUAUAGCAAAAAUUUAGAGUAAAAUUAGACCAAGAUUGAUUGAACAUUCAUGUUUCAAACUGCAGAAAAUCUUGGAGUUUUUUUAGACAAUAAUAUUAAUGUUACUACUGCUAAUAAAAGAUAGCUUUAUUGAGAAACUACUGUAUGUCAUGAUCUGUAUUAAGCCUUUAUAUGAAAAAAAAAAGCCUUUAUAUGCAUUAUUUCCUGUAAUUCAAGGAAGAUAUAGGAACUCAAAUCUGAUGAAAAUAAGCCAGAUGAAAAAACAUGGCCUAUAAUCUAGUGGAGGAGGAGGAGGAUGAUGACGAUGACAAUGAUGAAGAUUAUGAUGACAAUGAUGUUGGUAAUGAUGAUAAUGAUGGCAAUGACAAUGAUGAUGACAAUGACAAUAAUGAUGAUUAUGAUGAUGACAGUGAUGUUGACAAUGAUGAUGAUGACAACAUCUGGAAUGUGGAGAAUCACAGUUAGGGUCAACCGCCUAUAUAACAGAGCUUGUUUGAAGUGUCUCAAGUCCCAGGCUCUAAUGGACCCCAACUCUGAUAAAUCACCUUCAUGCUCAGAAGGAAAGAUAAGACUUAUGCAACUAUUGCUUAUAGUGAUAACCUCUACAUCUCCUGGAAUUAGCCUCAACUUAGUGUCUUCAGCAACUCCCUGAAGACGGAACGUGGCUGAUUUUAUUUGCAAGGUCUUCUGGUUUUCAUACGGGUCCAACUGUAACUGAAACAACUACUCAUUUAGUUUAUUCAACAAACAUUUAUUGAGAACCUGUUAUGUGCCAGCUACUUUUCUAGGCAUGGAAAUACAGAGAUAGACAAGGUAGGCAAAGUUGCUGCUUUUGUGAUGCUUAUAUGAAUAUAUGCUAAUUGUCUUUAAAAAAAACAAGAAAAUAUUGAGAAGAGAAAGUGAAAGUUCUUCUAUGAGAGGUGGAGAUGUCCA